GUUCAGCAGUCCUGCGGACCUGUCUCUUGCUUCGACAGUGGAUGGAACAGAUUCCAGGGACUCUUUCUUCCAGCCUCUGACCGCCUUCCGAUUUCCUCUCCACUUGCAACCUCCGGGACCAUCUUCUCAGCCAUCUCCUGCUUCUGGGGACCUGCCAACACUGUUUUUGUGGUUAGCUCCUUCUUGCUGACCAACCAUGAGCUCCCAGAUUCGUCACAAUUAUUCCACGCACGUGGAGGCUGCCACUGACCUCCUGGUCUAUGUAUACCUGCAGGCCUUCUACACCUACCUCUCUCUGGGCUACUAUUUCGACUGCAAUGAUGUGGCUCUGGAAGGCAUGAGCCACUUGUUCUGCGAAUUGACCGAGGGGAAGGGCGAGGGCUACGAGCAUCUCCUGAAGAUGCAAAACCAGUGCGGCAGCCGUGCUCUCUUCCAGGACAUCAAGAAGCCAGUUCAAGAGGAGUGGGGUAAAACCCUGGACGCCAUGGAAGCCGCCAUGGCCCUGGAGAAAAAUCUGAACCAGGCCCUUUUGGAUCUUCAUGCCCGGGGUUCUGCCCACAUGGACCCCCAUCUCUGUGACUUCCCAGAGAGUCACUUCCUAGAUGAGGGAGUGAAACUCAUCAAGAAGAUGGGUGACCACCUGACCAACCUCUGCAGGCUGGCCGGCCCACAGGCUGGGCUGGGCAGGUAUCUCUUCGAAAGGCUCACUCUCGAGCACGACUAAGAGCCUACUGAGCCCAGUGACUUCUGAAGGGGCCCUUGCAAAGUGACAAGGCUUCUGCCUAAGCCUCUCCCUCCAGCCACUAGGCAGCUUUCUAACUACCCUAACAAGCUUUGGAACAAAUGGAACUAAAGCUUUUUGAAGCAGAAAAAAAAA